rnacentral:lncRNA from 1 species
GGUCACCUCUUCGCGCGAGCAGGGAGAUCAGAUCGAGAGCAGGACCUCCUCGCCAGUGAUUUGGAAUGAUAAAUGGGGAAGAGAAGGGGGUGAAGUUACCUGGGCGCUCAGGCAUGACUAAGAGAUAUCGUGAAAUUACAACUCAACAAUGAUUUACAGCACAGGCUUUUCACAACUAAGAGACUGUCCAUCAUGGUGCCAGUUUUUCUCAAAAUGGCAUGUGUGCAUGAAAUUCUACAGGCAUAUGGGGUCGUGAUCUGCUAAUCUCCAGUUAUUAUAACUACUUUGAAAAGGGACUUUCCAGCUAUCAGUACACUAUCUCACAAUUACCCUUGAACCAGAAGACAAUGAAUGAUUUGCUAAACAGAUGGCAUAGUCUAUGACAUGCAUCAUAUGUGUGAGCAAUCACAGAAGGUAUGACUUUUCUCAUGAAAUAUUUUCAGACAAA